ACAAAAACAAAAACGAAAAAAGCAUCCAGGUUUCAUCCCUCCCUCUCUCCCCCUCUCUCAAAUCCCUAUUUUCUUUUUCUCUCGCAAAUCACCUCCGAGACCUGAGAAAUUCAUUCACCUCAUUCCUCUUCUCAGCGUCCUUUGCUUCUUCAUCCUCUACCUCUCCUCUCACGAUCCAUCUCAAAAAGAUUUGGCUCAGUUCAGUGGAUUUAAUCGAUUGUCGAAGUCUGUAGAUUCGUUAGAGAUUGACGAUAUCGGACGAUUUUCGGAUAUCAAAAAGGAGAUGUUAUAGCUAUUUGGAGCCUCAAAAACUUGAAGGAGAUCGAAAAACAUGCUCCGUUGCUGCCUCAUCUCUUCUUGAUUCUCCGAUUUCCCGGCGACUCUCCGGUAGCGAUUCCGAUUAGGUGAGAUGUGGCAAGAAUAAGUUGAAUCGGAAGAAGUUGAAAGUCCUCCACACUGCUGGCUCGAAGGCCUUCAGAAAAGUGCAAUAUGAUGAGUGAGACUGUGCCACUGAAGAGGAACUUGGACUUGUUGAAUUGUACCAAAAGACUUAUUUUAGUGAGAAAAAAGAGGCAUGGGUACAUGCUAAUGCUAAGAUUAGACAUUACAAGCUUGAAAAGCGGCAAGAGAAAAUUAUUGAAGAUGGAUCUUGUCCGAUAUUCGAUGAGCAACUUUCUAUUGAGGUAUUUGGACAAAAAGUUGGCUACAUACGAGGCUUAGGGCGUGGUCGAAAACCAAGUACAACAUUAUCUGGAAAACUUACUCGUGCCCAACUUGAGAGGGAUAAUGAGGCUGCUACAAGUAGGGAUGUGCAUAAUACCGCCAAAACCGUACCGAAUCGCUUCGAACCACGCAAAAUUUCAACUCUGGCUUGGGCGGGUUGGAGGCCCAACUCUGGCGGGUCGGCGCAGGUGACGGAUGAGAUUUUCCAACCCACAAGUCUAACCGACCCGAACUGCCCCUGUUUCAUAAAAAAAAAAAAUGUUAUACAAACACAGAUCAAGUGCAAUCCAGCUACAUGAUUAUAUCUAUCAUACAUGAUAUACUCUCACACACACACACACACACACACACACACACACACAAUAAUUCCUCAAUUAUACCCAAUUGACACCCACACAUUUCAAUUUCAUCUCAUUCACAUCGAUUCAUCAUCGCUAUGCACAACAUUUCAUCAAUUCCUCUUCAUUACCUUGCUGAUCGGCUUACCGCUGUUAGCCUCUCCUCACCACCGCCGCUGGUUUCUCCUUCCCUUAUCAAUCGGCACUGCCUACUCGUCGUCAUUGACAUGUCGGUCGGAGCUCCUGCUCGUGUUGGCCUUAUUGCUCCAAUUGAUGUUGUUCCUCCUGAAAACACUAGAUUGGAUCCAUCUCAAGCUUCCUUCUUCUAGGUAUACAUCUUUCAAGCUACUGACACCACUUUGCGAUUCACUUUGCGAGAUUUUGAAUGACAUUCCAAUGAAACCCUUGAGAAGAUGUGAUGGAUGAGUUGUUCUGUUUUAUAGGUAGAUAUAAUUACAAUUUACAAUCUAUUCAUUGAAUAGUUGAAUGCUACAAACAAUGCUUGUGGCACUAGCCUUAUAAAUUGGAAAUGAUACUUUUGAAAUCUCUAUCAAUUUAUGAUAUACAAUCAAAUAUUACAUAUUAAUGAAUCAGAGCAUUGUAUUUGUUUGU